AAAAAGCAUAAAUCUUCAGUAGCCAUGGCGAAACGUUUGAUCCCAACACUUAACAGGGUUUUGAUCGAGAAAAUUACAGCUCCUGCUAAAACAAGUGCUGGUAUUCUUCUCCCUGAGAAUUCAUCUAAGCUGAAUUCAGGGAAAGUAGUGGCUGUUGGACCAGGACUUCAUGACAAGACAGGGAACUUGAUACCUACUGCUGUCAAGGAAGGUGACACCGUCUUGUUGCCUGAGUACGGUGGUACUCAAGUCAAGUUGGGGGAGAAAGAAUUUCAUUUGUACCGGGAUGAAGACAUUUUAGGGACACUGCACGACUGAGCACCACCGCGUUUGAGUUUUCAUUGACGUUCAUGUUGUUGAGGUUUUUAUUCAAUGGGAGGUUAAUUUCAAGGAUGUUUUUGGUUUUAGCAUUCGAAUUGUGCUUGAUUGAUAUCUAAUGCAAUGAUAGUUGAAUAACUCCAUUCGAAUUGUGUUUGAUUGAUAUCUAAUGCCAUCAUAGUUGAAUAACUCUUCCUUUAGUGUUGUGCAAUAGUGUAUAUUUUUAAUGGCAAAU
rnacentral:misc_RNA from 1 species